GCCCGUCUAGCUCCAGUCGGUAGAGCGCAAGGCUCUUAACCUUGUGGUCCUGGGUUCAAGUCCCAGGGUGGGCG
rnacentral:tRNA from 1 species